rnacentral:rRNA from 1 species
AGUCGAUCAUGGCUCAGAUUGAACGCUGGCGGGAUGCUUUGGCGCAUAGCGUAAGCCGAACGGCAGCACGGGCCUCGGUCUGGUGGCGAGUGGCGAACGGGUGAGUAAUGGUAUCGGAACGUAAAGUCAGUAGCGGAGGAUAACUACGUGGGUGCUAGCGAAUACCGCAUACAGCCCUUUCGGGGGAAAGCGGGGGACCUUCGGGCCUCUGCACUAUUAGAGCGGCUGAUAUCGGAUUAGCCAGUUGUGCAACGGCUCACCAAGGCGACGAUCCGUAGCUGGUUUGAGAGGACGACCAGCCACACACUUUGGACUGGAGACACGGCCCAGACUCCUACGGGAGGCAGCAGUGGGGAAUUUUGGACAAUGGGGGAACUCCUGAUCCAGCCAUCCUUGCGGGAAGAUGCAUGCCUUCGGUUGUAAAAAGCACUUUUUGGUAGAAAGAAAUGGCACGGGAUAAUACCCCGUGCACCCUGACGGUACCUUGCAGAAUAAGCACCGGCUAACUACGUGCCAGCAGCCGCGGUAAUACGUAGGGUGCAAGCGUUAAUCGGAAUACUGGCGUAAAGCGUGCGCAGGCGGUUCGGAAAGAAAGAUGGUGAAAUCCCAGAGCUUAACUUUGAACUGCAUUUAAUCACCGAGCUAGAGUGUGUCAGGAGGGAGGUGAAUUCCGGCGUGUAGCAGUAAAUGCGUAGAUAUGCGGAGGAACACCGAUGGCGAAGGCAGCCUCCUGGGAUAACACUUGACGCUCAUGCACGAAAGCGUGGGGAGCAAACAGCAUUAGAUAAUUCUAUAGUCCACGCCCUAAACGAUGUCAACUAGCUGUUGGGGCUCGCCUUGGUAGCGCAGCUAACGCGUGAAGUUGACCGCCUGGGGAGUACGGUCGCAAGAUUAAAACUCAAAGGAAUUGACGGGGACUCCGCACAAGCGGUGGAUGAUGUGGAUUAAUUCGAUGCAACGCGAAAAACCUUACCUACCCUUGACAUGUCUGGAAUCCCCUUAAAGAGAUUUGGGGAGGUUCGCAAGAGAACCGGAACACAGGUGCUGCAUGGCUGUCGUCAGCUCGUGUCGUGAGAUGUUGGGUUAAGUCCUGCAACGAGCGCAACCCUUGUCAUUAGUUGCUACGAAAGGGCACUCUAAUGAGACUGCCGGUGACAAACCGGAGGAAGGUGGAUGACGUCGAGUCUCGCGGCCCUUAUGGGUAGGGCUUCACACGUCAUACAAUGGUCGGGACAGAGGGUCGCCAACUCAUGAGGGGGAGCCAUCCUAGAAACUGAUCGGGUCUGAUCGCAGUCUGCAACUCGACUGCGUGAAGUCGGAAUCGCCAGUAAUCGCGGAUCAGCAUGUCGCGGUGAAUACGUUCCCGGGUCUUGUACACACCGCCCGUCACACCAUGGGGAGUGGGUUUUACCAGAAGUAGUUAGCCUAACCGUAAGGAGGGCGAUUACCAACAGUAGGAUUCAUGACUGGGGUAAAGUCGUAACAAGGCAGU